CAUUCAGGUGAUGUGAAUAAGAGUUUUACAGGUCUUA
rnacentral:tRNA from 1 species